rnacentral:rRNA from 1 species
GACGAACGCUGGCGGCGUGCCUAACACAUGCAAGUCGAGCGAAUGAAAUUCCUUCGGGAACGGAUUUAGCGGCAGACGGGUAAGUAACACGUGGGCAACCUGCCUCAUAGAGGGGAAUAGCCUUCCGAAAGGGAGAUUAAUACCGCAUAAGAUUGUAGUACCGCAUGGUACAGCAAUUAAAGGAGCAAUCCGCUAUGAGAUGGGCCCGCGGCGCAUUAGCUAGUUGGUGAGGUAACGGCUCACCAAGGCGACGAUGCGUAGCCGACCUGAGAGGGUGAUCGGCCACAUUGGGACUGAGACACGGCCCAGACUCCUACGGGAGGCAGCAGUGGGGAAUAUUGCACAAUGGGGGAAACCCUGAUGCAGCAACGCCGCGUGAGUGAUGACGGCCUUCGGGUUGUAAAGCUCUGUCUUCAGGGACGAUAAUGACGGUACCUGAGGAGGAAGCCACGGCUAACUACGUGCCAGCAGCCGCAGUAA